rnacentral:rRNA from 1 species
UGGGGAAUUUUGGACAAUGGGCGAAAGCCUGAUCCAGCAAUGCCGCGUGUGUGAAGAAGGCCUUCGGGUUGUAAAGCACUUUUGUCCGGAAAGAAAUGGCUCUGGUUAAUACCUGGGGUCGAUGACGGUACCGGAAGAAUAAGGACCGGCUAACUACGUGCCAGCAGCCGCGGUAAUACGUAGGGUCCAAGCGUUAAUCGGAAUUACUGGGCGUAAAGCGUGCGCAGGCGGUUGUGCAAGACCGAUGUGAAAUCCCCGAGCUUAACUUGGGAAUUGCAUUGGUGACUGCACGGCUAGAGUGUGUCAGAGGGGGGUAGAAUUCCACGUGUAGCAGUGAAAUGCGUAGAGAUGUGGAGGAAUACCGAUGGGCGAAGGCAGCCCCCUGGGAUAACACUGACGCUCAUGCACGAAAGCGUGGGGAGCAAACAGGAUUAGAUACCCUGGUAGUCCACGCCCUAAACGAUGUCAACUAGUUGUUGGGGGAUUCAUUUCCUUAGUAACGUAGCUAACGCGUGAAGUUGACCGCCUGGGGAGUACGGUCGCAAGAUU